UUCUGCGUCACCGUCCUUCAGC
rnacentral:miRNA from 1 species